AUGAAAUAAAAGAGAGGAUGGAGGAGACAAUAUCCUGUUUUAUUUGCGAUAUUCUCUACUUAAGAUUAUGUAAUAUUUCAUGAUGCAAUGCAGCAGCAGGUGACAGCUCUGCCUUUUGGGGGGUGUCACCGUCCUUGCCUGGUCCUGACUGUGCCCUGCUUGCUGCGAGUCAACGCUGCGAUGUUCCGUGGGCUGCGAGCCUACCUUCCGCUCCCCGGGGCUCAGACGAAGCUCCCGACCGGGCUCUCCUCGCCUCGAGCCUCGCUUUCUGCUGCCUCUAGCCCUGCAAUCGCCUCUGCAGACUCGCCCGCUGGCCGCGCCUGCUGCCGCCUUCCAGCUCUUCCCUCUCGGGAUGGCUGAGGUCAAAGCUUGCUCUGCCCUCCACGUGCAAAAAUUAAAAACCGAGGCUAAAACAAGACAAAAUAAAACCUAGACAUAUUCUAGAGAAUGUUUUUAUUUGAUUGCUUCUUGAAAUUUCAUUUCCCUAAAAUGUGUUCUUACAAUAAUAUUUUGCUUAAAUAUUUGGGCCAAGGAAGACUUUUAAAAAUGAUCACCUUUGCAGCUUUCUCACUUGGAAGUUGGCUAGUACUCAACCCUCUGAUGAAUGGAAGAGUAACAACUUGCUUUUCUCUCUGCUGAGGAGUGGACCCAUGGAGACAGGCAGCUUCGAGGGAGUCUCUCUUUCUAAGGCUCAGGUAUGUGGUACGGGUUGAAAUUCUGCAAUGUGUGACUGAGCUCCCACCUACAGACUGGACAACGUUUUGUCCCUGCCCUAAUCUUGUCUUUGUGGAGGUGUUGGAGGGAAGAAGGGCCAGGGACAUUUCCAGCCCCGUGGCAAGUUCCUGUCUGCACAGUUUCGGCUGUUUAAUUUUCAGAUUAUUUAAUGACAGAUUAUUUUUAGGGUAAACAUAGGAGUAAGCCCUCUAUCUCUUAGUUUAAGGACUCUUCUCUCUCAGAGGGGUAGGCAGGUGCUUCUGGACCUCUGCAGGCAUGGAGUUGUUCGGGCAGGGCCUCCCGUAGCUGCCGACGAGAGGUCGGGAGAGGGCUCUGGCUGACAGAAGGUGGCCUGCGGGGCGCUAAUGCUGCGUG
rnacentral:lncRNA from 1 species